AGUGGUUAAGCGUUUGGCUGCUAACCAAAAGGUAGGCAGUUCAAAUCCACCAACCACUC
rfam:Loxodonta africana unplaced genomic scaffold scaffold_29, whole genome shotgun sequence.